rnacentral:ncRNA from 1 species
UCCGCCGCGAGGCGGAAUCUGAAGAAAGCGGGCGGCAAACCUCCGGUCUGAGGAACACGAACUCCAUAUAAGGCUAUGUAUGGUUGGAUGAGCUUGCCAACCAAAGCAAAGCCCUUUCUGCCGAAGGCCAUAUGCAGUAAAUGGAGCGGAUAGGUGGAGGGAAAGACUGCGCUC